AUGUUUGAAGGAAAAGAUAGUUACAAUUAUUUUUCUCUCGCCUUAUUACAUCUUGAUGUUAAUAGGCGUUGGAAGGUACUAUGGACCACAUUCAAGGUUUACCGAAUUUGCACAAUCCUAUUACAGUUUAUUCUGAUGAAAGAAUUGACCAGUUCUUCCUUGAGUAAAUUAGUAUUGCUGAUGCUACUCCUUUGUGCAUUGUUACAUAGAGUUAUAGUUGUGAAGAUAGUUACAAUUAUUUUUCUCUCGCCUUAUUACAUCUUGAUGUUAAUAGGCGUUGGAAGGUACUAUGGACCACAUUCAAGGUUUACCGAAUUUGCACAAUCCUAUUACAGUUUAUUUUGA
rnacentral:rRNA from 1 species